rnacentral:lncRNA from 1 species
AAUAAAUACAAAAAUAGUAAAAAAUAUCAUGGCAAUGAGAAUGAUACAUGAUAAAAGUUCGUCAAUAUCUAUAUGAUGAUUUAAUACUAGAUGAGGACAAGAAAAUUAAUAAAAACUCUGGCUGGAUUAAUGAAUUUGUAUAUGGAUGAUUCAAAAUCCAAGUUACAAUCUUGGGUCAGUUAUGUUGUGAUUUAUGUAAAAAUCAAUUUACAUAUCAAUGUGAUGAAACUUAUGAUGGCUAAGUGGCAUGCUGCUUCCACUUUCUAUCUGCCAUCUCAUUCAGUAAUAGACAAUGUCAAAGUGAGAUGCAGUUUUAGAUAAUCUUAUUGUUUAGUAAUAGUGUAAGUUGUGAUUGAUAAAUAAAUUUUUCUCAAACUGUUAGCAGUGCGAUUAAUUUGUGAGAGAUCAGCUUUAGCUGAAUCUUCACAUCUUGCAUAAGUCACAGCUUUUGUGUGUGUGUGUGUGUGUGUGUGUGUGUGUGUGUGUGUGUGUGU